GUUGGCCUAAAUGAAUAAUUUCAAGGGAUCAUGCAAUGCCAUGAAAUGGGGUGAGGCAAUUCCGUGAAAUGGCUUUGAGCUAAGCCUUUGUGAUUUUGUUUAUGUUCUGUUCUGCUUCUCAAUUUCCCCCUUGCUUUUUAUUUGUUUAUCUACAUUGUGUGUAUUGUCAGGCUGCAUCUGCGUGUCCUGAAUAAAUAAUUCCAAGGGGUCAUGUAAUGCCAUGAAAUGGGUUUGAGCUAAGGCUACGUAAUUUUGUUCUUUAUGUUCUCUUCUGUUUCUCAAUUUCCCACUUGGUUUUCAUUUACUUAUCUAUGUUGUGUGUACUGUGUAUUGCCAGGCUGCAUUUGUGUAGAUAAAAUAAACACUUCUGGGGGGUCAGGCAAUGCCAUGAAAUGGGUUUGAGCUAAGAGUACUUGAUUUUGUUUUUUUGUUGUUUGUUCUCUUCUGCUUCUCAAUUUUCCACACGCUUUUCAUGUGUUUAUCUACAUUGUUUGUAUUGUUAGGCUGCAUCUGGGUGGCCUAAAUGAAUAAUUUCAAGGGAUCAUGCAAUGCCAUGAAAUGGGUUUGAGCUAAGGCGUUCUUUAUGUUCUCUUCUGCUGCUCAAUUUCCCACAUGAUUUUCAUUUGCGUAACUACUUUGUGUGUAUUGCCAGGCUGCAUUUUGCGUGGUUUGAAUAAAUAAUUCAAAGGGGUCAGGCAAUGCCAUGAAAUGGGGUGCGGUAAUACCAUGAAAUGGAUUUGAGCUAAGGCUGCG